rnacentral:tRNA from 1 species
GCCAGCAUGGUGUAGUGGUUUAAGUAUUGGACUACGGUUCUGGAGCCCAGGGUUCGAUUCCCAGUUCAGCUG